UUGAACGCUGGCGGAAUGCUUUACACAUGCAAGUCGAGCGGCAGCGCGGGGGCAACCCUGGCGGCGAGCGGCGAACGGGUGAGUAAUGUAUCGGAACGUACCCAGUCGUGGGGGAUAACUAUCCGAAAGGAUAGCUAAUACCGCAUACGUCCUGAGGGAGAAAGCGGGGGAUCGCAAGACCUCGCGCGAUUGGAGCGGCCGAUAUCGGAUUAGCUAGUUGGUGAGGUAAAGGCUCACCAAGGCGACGAUCCGUAGCUGGUCUGAGAGGACGACCAGCCACACUGGAACUGAGACACGGUCCAGACUCCUACGGGAGGCAGCAGUGGGGAAUUUUGGACAAUGGGGGCAACCCUGAUCCAGCCAUUCCGCGUGAGUGAAGAAGGCCUUCGGGUUGUAAAGCUCUUUCAGACGGAAAGAAAUCGGGCGCGUGAAUAGCGUGCCUGGAUGACGGUACUGUCAGAAGAAGCACCGGCUAACUACGU
rnacentral:rRNA from 1 species